ACAGCCACAUCACAUAGAAACAUUGGUUCCCAUACGAUCACUGAAGUUAAAUAAUGUUGAGCCUGGUCAGUACCUAGAUGUGUGACUGCUUGGGAAUACCAAAUAUUGUAA